rnacentral:rRNA from 1 species
CCUACGGGUGGCAGCAGUAGGGAAUCUUCCGCAAUGGGUGAAAGCCUGACGGAGCAACGCCGCGUGAGUGAUGAAGGUCUUCGGAUCGUAAAACUCUGUUAUCAGGGAAGAACAAAUGUGUAAGUAACUGUGCACAUCUUGACGGUACCUGAUCAGAAAGCCACGGCUAACUACGUGCCAGCAGCCGCGGUAAUACGUAGGUGGCAAGCGUUAUCCGGAAUUAUUGGGCGUAAAGCGCGCGUAGGCGGUUUUUUAAGUCUGAUGUGAAAGCCCACGGCUCAACCGUGGAGGGUCAUUGGAAACUGGAAAACUUGAGUGCAGAAGAGGAAAGUGGAAUUCCAUGUGUAGCGGUGAAAUGCGCAGAGAUAUGGAGGAACACCAGUGGCGAAGGCGACUUUCUGGUCUGUAACUGACGCUGAUGUGCGAAAGCGUGGGGAUCAAACAGGAUUAGAUACCCGAGUAGUC